rnacentral:rRNA from 1 species
AAUCAACGCUGGCGGCGUGCCUAACACAUGCAAGUCGAACGCGAAAGUCCCGCAAGGGGCAAGUAGAGUGGCAAACGGGUGAGUAACACGUGGGUGACCUGCCUUCGAGUGGGGGAGUAACGUCCCGAAAGGGACGCUAAUACCGCAUGACAUCCUGCUUUUGGAAAAGCGGAGAUCAAAGCCGGGGAUCGCAAGACCUGGCGCUCGAAGAGGGGCCCGCGCCUGAUUAGCUAGUUGGNGAGGUAACGGCUCACCAAGCUACGAUCAGUAUCCGGCCUGAGAGGGCGGACGGACACACUGGGACUGAGACACGGCCCAGAC